CAGUAGCCGCGGGAACACGGAGGGGGCAAGCGUUAUCCGGAAUUAUUGGGCGUAAAGGGUACGUAGGUGGCCUUUUAAGCGUAGGGUAUAAGGCAAUGGCUCAACCAUUGUUCGCCCUAUGAACUGGAAGGCUUGAGUGCAGGAGAGGAAAGCGGAAUUCCUAGUGUAGCGGUGGAAUGCAUAGAUAUUAGGAGGAACAUCAGCGGCGAAGGCGGCUUACUGGACGGCAACUGACGUUGAGGCUCGAAGGCGUGGGUAGCAAGCAGGAUUAGAUACCCCUGUAGUCCCUGUCUCUUAUACA
rnacentral:rRNA from 1 species